UGUGUUUGAUGUGUUCGUUGUGAUUUGAAUUUUAUUGUGUUAUUCCCUACGUUUUGACUUGUUUACGGACUUUUUGAUCUUCUAUGUGUUACGACAUCAUCUGGCUUGUUACUUGGACCCCGGACUGAUUGCAUGACUGUUAACUUGGCUCUUUAUUAUACGGAUUACAAUUUUUGCAAUUUUGAUUAAGUACUUAUUUUAAAAUGCCGAAAUCAGCUGAAUUAAAAUGUUAUUUCAAAUGUGAUAUUGAUGGACCCUUACAUCGCUUUCCCAAAUGGGAAUAUCCUCAUACAUAGAAGUUAAACCAAUGAAAAUUUUGAAAUUUUGAUAGAAAUGAUCAUGUUAAAAAACAAGCAUCCGAUUAUUAUAAUAAAAGAUGAAAAUAAACAAUAGUUUUAUAAAUUCUA